AUGAGGUUCCCUGCUCAGCUUCUGGGUCUGCUGAUGCUCUGGUUUCCAGGAGGCAGAGGUGAUAUUGUGCUGACCCAGAGCCCACUAUCCCUGUCGGUUGCCCCCAGAGAAUCAGCCUCCAUCUCCUGCAGGUCCAGUGAAAGUCUGCUGCACAGUGAUGGAAAUACCUAUCUUAACUGGCUCCAACAGAGGCCAGGUCAGCCCACAAGGCGCCUGUUCUAUAAAAUUUCCAAUCGGGACCCUGAAGUCCCAGAUAGAUUCAGUGCCAGUGGCUCAGGGACAGAUUUCACUCUUAAAAUAAGUAGAGUGGAGCCUGAGGAUGUUGGAGUUUACUACUGCUUUCAAGGUACAAAGUAUCCUCGCACAGUGAUAUAG